rnacentral:rRNA from 1 species
GACGAACGCUGGCGGCGUGCUUAACACAUGCCAGUCGAACGGAAAGGCCCUGCUUUUGUGGGGUGCUCGAGUGGCGAGCGGGUGAGUAACACGUGAGUAACCUGCCCUUGACUUUGGGAUAACUUCAGGAAACUGGGGCUAAUACCGGAUAGGAGCUCCUGCUGCAUGGUGGGGGUUGGAAAGUUUCGGCGGUUGGGGAUGGACUCGCGGCUUAUCAGCUUGUUGGUGGGGUAGUGGCUUACCAAGGCUUUGACGGGUAGCCGGCCUGAGAGGGUGACCGGCCACAUUGGGACUGAGAUACGGCCCAGACUCAUACGGGAGGCAGCAGUGGGGAAUAUUGCACAAUGGGCGGAAGCCUGAUGCAGCAACGCCGCGUGCGGGAUGACGGCCUUCGGGUUGUAAACCGCUUUCGCCUGUGACGAAGCGUGAGUGACGGUAAUGGGUAAAGAAGCACCGGCUAACUACGUG